UCUAUGAUUAAUAUAGAGGGAGGACAUAUGAGUAAUUCCUGUGUGUAACCAAUUAUAUACUAAGGCUAUUGAACUGCUAAAUUGUUUUACUGGCACAAAAACAGGUUCAUUUCUAUCUCCUUGAAUCAACACUGAGAUCGAUGUAUGAAUAAUUCCUGUGUGCCCCCUUGUUUCUUCCUUUGCUCCCAUCAUAGCCCUAAUAUACACUAAAAACCAAGUGCUUAGGAGCUUCUUCGGAUAAGGACAAGUUUCACAUUUCAGAACGGACAUAAAACCAAACGGAUCAACACUCCAUAGGAUUCAGAGCUGCUGAUAAAACAAACCGUUUUUUUCAAAUUUGGACAGAUUCUUUGGACAUUGGACACUUGCAAGUAUUGAUACUAACCAUCACAUAAACAAGUAUACUUUGUUACAAUUAAGAAUUGGAUACAAAUUUCAAACUUGUUGUGUUUAAGCAUAUCACAGAGAUUGGAGGAAUACAAUAGUCAGGUGACGUGACGUCACACCUCCCGAUCCAUCACUCACAGUUACUUCUAACGGCUGAACAGAUCAGACGCCUCCACUGAAUACUGUGACCAAAUAUUCCAUUGCUUAAAAAUAAUACUGGUAACAUUUAGCCGAGCCAAUUUCACUGUGCUAAGAGUCAUUUACCUUUAUCAAGUUUAUUCAUAUUCGUAUAUAUUUUUAAGAAACACUCAGGGAACCUUUUAGAAAUUUUAUAUCGGCUGUAUUUUUCUGUUUUUAAUAUGAUUAAUAUGUUUGAUUGUUACUGAUGCCGGCAUCUUAUGUAAUUGAGUAUAUGCUAACAUAUUCUGUAUGCAUUAACUAGUUAUCUACUUAAAUCACUAUAAAAAUUUUCUUUUAUUAUCAUUAGUUCCUCUUGUUAUUUCAUUUUUUUUUAAUAAUCUGGUUGGCUCUACUUAGCUGGAGCGCUUAUCCCACACCACUCUCACCUCUUUAUUAUAAAUCUUCCUACCCAUGCUACCAAGAAUGUUGAUGAACCCAUGGAUGUUGCUGUGAUUAGAGGCCCUCUAAAGCCUGAAGAGAAAGCCAGACGCAAACUGCUUAAUUUGUGCCUCUAUUGUGCCGAAAAGGAUCAUGCCGUAAGGGAUUGCCCAUCUCUCCUUCGUCAAAAGAAGGUGGGAUCAGCAGAAGAUAGACGUACAGGCCGUAAUUGACUCUGGAGCAUCUGGGAAUUUCAUAGAUUUAGUUUUUGUUGAUAAGCACAAAAUACCACUAAUAAAGAAGAGUGUUGCACUAGC